rnacentral:pre_miRNA from 1 species
AGACCCUGGUCUGCACUCUAUCUGUAUGCUUACUGAGGGGAGAGCAGAGCAGGGUUUCC